rnacentral:rRNA from 1 species
CCCGGGUUUAAGGUCACGAUGGAUCACACUCUCGCCUGAUCCUGCAUGGAGGUAUGCAACACCAUGCGCGAUCGCGCGUAGUAAUUCUAACCUUCUUGCCCAGUCCAAUGAAGCACGAAGAUUAGGUGUGCCGAAUAUGUAGAUGUUCAGACUCUUGUUCUGCAUGUAUUCGUAGAUGAGUAUCCGCUCCUUGCCUUCAUCACAGUAAGCGAGGAGACGAACAAGACUACCAUGUCGAAGCCCAACCAUCACUUCCACUUCUCUCGCGAAAUCAUUCUUGCCUUUUGUUGUCAAUGCUGUUUGUUUAAGCCUCUUGACAGCAAU